AUGCAGAUAAAACACAUAUUAACAAUAAAGGUCAUUCUUGAUGUUUUUCUCAACUAUUUCUUUUUUAUUCCAGGGCCAGCAGGUGUAUGUUCACUCUCUGUGUUUCACGUCAAUGGGACCGCCGCCACAGUGUCAUGGAAACCAGCCACUGGUCAUUUUGAUUUUUAUAGAGUGGCGGUCAGUAACAUCUCUCAUAUCUGGACAUUAGAUGUGAGUCCACACUCGCAGGUGGUCACCGUCAGCAGCCUGUGGAAUGGCUGCUCCUACAACAUCACUGUUCAACGCUUCAGAAACAACAUCAGUGGAACUGCUGCCACAAUCACCAUACGUACAGUCCCUGUCAGUCCUGAGGGGUUGCGGGUGAUAAGCGUGUCACCUCGUGCUUUCUCACUCCACUGGUUGGCAUCACCUGGAUGUGAUAAGGACUACAUGGUCCAACUGCAUCCUGACCACGGCAAUAUCAACAUCACCACCACAGCAGACAGUGGAGUGCAGGCUCAAGUGUCCAGUGUAACCCCUGGAACAUCAUACACUGUGACGGUCAAUGCGGUGGCCUCGUCAGGGUUCAGCUCACCUGUCAGCCGAAUACUCGUCACCACUAAUGAAUCCUGUAAGUCUGUGUGUUCCCUUCUUAAACCACUAUUCCCUUAUAUAUAUAUAUUCCUCUAGAC
ensembl:lncRNA